AGCUGAUGAAGAGGCACCGGGCAAUUGCAGGAACAUCCCAGUUAGCCAAUGCGCGGUGGUGAUGUUUUUGUUGCUGAUGGAUUCGGAUCCCCGGCCCUCGGAAAGCUAAAUGCGGACUGGCUAGAUGCCCACCGACGAGCGGCAGAGGAGGAGAGCAGAGCGCCGUAAGAAGGUGGCGGUCAGGCCUCGGCACGGCAGGCCGAAGAAUCCGACUCCGAGCGGCUGAGGAAAAGGGACAGGCGAGAGGAAGGCGUUUCCAAGGAGGGCUUCGUCGCAGCGGAGGUCGACGCCGGGCGGCACGUCGGCGACCGGCGACGCUCUGUCUCGUGAGGGAUGAAGCGGAACCUGGGGGAUGGGGGAGCGUCCCGGUUAGAUGACCUUUUCCCCAUGAGAAGGGAAUCUGGAUUCUGCCCUCUGAAAGCCCCGACCAACUGCACAACAAGCCUUGUUAAGGGCCAGUCGGCACACAAUACCUGACUUAGUCCCACCUCGCCAAAAGUAUAAAUCUGGCAUUCAGAAUCCUCUUUUUUGAGGACGAGAACUCCAACUAUCUGGACAGGUUGACGGGCCUGGACCUCUCUCUCUCCUCCCCAAGCAGGGACGCCUCUUUGGUGCCACGGCACGAUUUGGAUUCCCGCACGACAGCCUCGAGUGAGGUUUUUGUGGAGUAUCCAAGCAACAGCGAAGGAGCGGUGCAGUUAGCAAGGCAUCUUCCCUGGUCCCUGCCUAUGAGCGCUAACUCUACAGAGUCAGGCGGAGCGGCGAUGCUGACUUAAGGGACAGGGCAGGGAAUCAGAGUAGCUAUCCAGGUGACUGCAAGCUGCACGUGUUUGGCCAGGGGUUGGAAUCAGAGGAUCCAGAUUCCAUUGUAGUAGAAAGCUCUGGAACGAGAAAAAUGUUAAGUGAAGCAGGAGAGAUUGACUGUCAAUGUGCCU